rnacentral:piRNA from 1 species
UCUGAGCCUCCCUUUCCUCAACUUUGUCCA